AGGCCCAUUAGCUCAGUUGGUUAGAGCGUCGUGCUAAUAACGCGAAGGUCGCAGGUUCGAAACCUGCAUGGGCCAAUUUUCGUC
rnacentral:tRNA from 1 species